UUGCUUUGGCAGCACAUAUACUAAAAUUGGAACAAAACAGAGAAGAUUAGCAUGGCCCCUGUGCAAGGAUAACACACAAAUUUGUGAAGCAGCCCAUAUUUUU